rnacentral:rRNA from 1 species
AUUGAACGCUGGCUGCAGGCCUAACACAUGCAAGUCGGGCGAGCGGCGGACGGGGGAGUAAAGUAUGUGGAAUGCCUGAUGGAGGGGGAUCACUACCGGAAACGGUAACUAAUAACGCAUGCCCGCAGAUACACCAUAUGGGUGUAGCUAGUAGGUGAGGUAAAGGCUUACCUAGGCGACGAUCCCUUGCUGGUCUGAGAGGAUGAUAAGCCACACUGGAACGGAGACACGGCCCAGACUACUACGGAGGCAGCAGUGGGGAAUAUUGCACAAUGGGCGCAAGCCUGAUGCAGCCAUGCCGAGUGUAUGAAGAAGGCCUUCGGGUUGUAAAGUACUUUCAGUCGGGAGGCGUUACCAACAGAAGAAGCACCGGCUAACUCCGUGCCAGCAGCCGCGGUAAUAC